AAAUACUGUUCCGGUGACCGUUGCCGAUGACGUGGCGGCCUGCCGGAAAAUACUGUUCCGGCGAGUACCCGAAAAUUCCGGCCAGCUCCAGUCCGCAGUGUUCGACCUCCUGAAUCCGAAUCCGGCUUCCGUUUCCACCAAUUCGCGACGGUUUGGGAGAAUUGCGGAGCCGAAACUCGAAAAGCUUUCCGGCGAGAUUCCGACCCCGUCGGGUUCGAUCACCGGAAAGUAAGACCGAAUCCGUGAUCCUCAUCACGCGAGCUUCGAUUCGGUGCACGCGCGAGUAGUGGAGUGGAUCCCGAGGAGGAUCUUAGUUGAUUUGCGCUCUCCAGGUGCAAGUGGUGGUAGACGUUCUUCCGGAGCGAACCAAGUUUUCCGCUGCUGUUGUGUUUCGAGAAGUUUCUUUGUACUCUUUCAUUUCAGUGUAUUAUUUCUUUUCAGCCUUGUUGUAUUUCUGUUGUUUAGCACUUCUUAAAGCUCUGUAUACUAUUGGAAUACUUCUGUUUUAUUUAUGCACUGGACUGUUGUUGCUUUGAGAAGUGCUGGAAU